rnacentral:tRNA from 2 species
GCUCCGUUGGUGUAGUCCGGCCAAUCAUCUUGCCCUCUCACGGCAAGGACUUGGGUUCGAAUCCCAAACGGAGCA